rnacentral:rRNA from 1 species
UUUAAUUCGAUGCAACGCGAAGAACCUUACCUGGUCUUGACAUCCACGGAAGUUUUCAGAGAUGAGAAUGUGCCUUCGGGAACCGUGAGACAGGUGCUGCAUGGCUGUCGUCAGCUCGUGUUGUGAAAUGUUGGGUUAAGUCCCGCAACGGGCGCAACCCUUAUCCUUUGUUGCCAGCGGUCCGGCCGGGAACUCAAAGGAGACUGCCAGUGAUAAACUGGAGGAAGGUGGGGAUGACGUCAAGUCAUCAUGGCCCUUACGACCAGGGCUACACACGUGCUACAAUGGCGCAUACAAAGAGAAGCGACCUCGCGAGAGCAAGCGAACCUCAUAAAGUGCGUCGUAGUCCGGAUUGGAGUCUGCAACUCGACUCCAUGAAGUCGGAAUCGCUAGUAAUCGUGGAUCAGAAUGCCA